UACCCGUAGAUUUUCACCCCGGCCCGAAUUGUUUUAACGGGGGUCCCGUAAGUUUUUACGGGGUGCCAAUAUACUUAUCUCUGGGGAAUAACUCAGGGAAACUUGGGCUAAUACCCUAUGCGUCCUUCGGGAGAAAGAUUUAUCGGAGAUGGAUGAGCCCGCGUUGGAUUAGCUAGUUGGUGGGGUAAAGGCCUACCAAGGCGACGAUCCAUAGCUGGUCUGAGAGGAUGAUCAGCCACACUGGGACUGAAACACGGCCCAAACUCCUACGGGAGGCAGCAGUGGGGAAUAUUGGACAAUGGGCGCAAGCCUGAUCCAGCCAUGCCGCGUGAGUGAUGAAGGCCCUAGGGUUGUAAAGCUCUUUCACCGGUGAAGAUAAUGACGGUAACCGGAGAAGAAGCCCCGGCUAACUUCGUGCCAGCAGCCGCGGUAAUACGAAGGGGGCUAGCGUUGUUCGGAUUUACUGGGCGUAAAGCGCACGUAGGCGGAUUGGUCAGUUAGGGGUGAAAUCCCAGGGCUCAACCCUGGAACUGCCUUUAAUACUGCCAGUCUUGAGUAUGGAAGAGGUGAGUGGAAUUCCGAGUGUAGAGGUGAAAUUCGUAGAUAUUCGGAGGAACACCAGUGGCGAAGGCGGCUCACU
rnacentral:rRNA from 1 species